UACGGGAGGUGCAAGUGUUGUUCCUAAUGACUGGGCGUUAAGGGUACGAAGAUUGUAAUUUAAGUUUAAUUAUUUAAGUUAUAAAAUUAUAUUAAAUACUAUUUUACUAGAAUUAUAUUUAAAAUAUUAGAACUGUUAGUUUAAGGUUUAAAUCUGUAGAUAAGCAGGAAUGUCAAUGGCGAAAGCAUAUAUUUAUUUAUAAUUAACAUUAAGGUACGAAAGCAUGGGGAUCAAACGGG
rnacentral:rRNA from 1 species